rnacentral:rRNA from 1 species
UACGGAGGGUGCAAGCGUUAUCCGGAUUUACUGGGUUUAAAGGGUGUGUAGGCGGGCAUUUAAGUUUGGGGUGAAAUCUCCGAGCUCAACUCGGAAACUGCCUUGGAUACUAUUUGUCUUGAAUUAUGUUGAGGUUGGCGGAAUAUAACAUGUAGCGGUGAAAUGCAUAGAUAUGUUAUAGAACACCGAUUGCGAAGGCAGCUAACUAAGCAUAUAUUGACGCUGAGGCACGAAAGCGUGGGGAUCAAACAGG